rnacentral:rRNA from 1 species
AGUGAACGCUGGCGGUAGGCCUAACACAUGCAAGUCGAACGGCAGCACAGUAAGAGCUUGCUCUUACGGGUGGCGAGUGGCGGACGGGUGAGGAAUACAUCGGAAUCUACUUUUUCGUGGGGGAUAACGUAGGGAAACUUACGCUAAUACCGCAUACGACCUACGGGUGAAAGCAGGGGAUCUUCGGACCUUGCGCGAUUGAAUGAGCCGAUGUCGGAUUAGCUAGUUGGCGGGGUAAAGGCCCACCAAGGCGACGAUCCGUAGCUGGUCUGAGAGGAUGAUCAGCCACACUGGAACUGAGACACGGUCCAGACUCCUACGGGAGGCAGCAGUGGGGAAUAUUGGACAAUGGGGGAAAGACUGAUCCAGCCAUACCGCGUGGAUGAAGAAGGCCUUCUGGUUGUAAAGUCCUUUUGUUGGGAAAGAAAAGCAGCAGGUUAAUACCCCGCUGUUCUGACGGUACCAAAAGAAUAAGCACCGGCUAACUUCGUG